rnacentral:rRNA from 1 species
UACGAAGGGGGCUAGCGUUGUUCGGAUUUACUGGGCGUAAAGCGCACGUAGCGGGUCGUUAAGUCAGGGGUGAAAUCCCGGAGCUCAACUCCGGAACUGCCUUUGAUACUGGCGACCUUGAGGCCGGAAGAGGUUAGUGGAAUUCCCAGUGUAGAGGUGAAAUUCGUAGAUAUUGGGAAGAACACCAGUGGCGAAGGCGGCUAACUGGUCCGGAUCUGACGCUGAGGUGCGAAAGCGUGGGAGCAACA